AAUGAAUGACUAAACUUUAACAGCAAUAAUAAUGCUAAGUCAUGCUGAAUAAUACAUUGCUUAGAUACAUUGAGUGCGUAUAACUGAACUAUUUUAGUUAGUGCUUUGUACUAAAAACCAUUGAAAAUUUAGAUUAUAAAGCAAAAACUAGUCCAGAAUAUCUCAAACCCAUUUAAAAUUGUCAUUAUUCUGCAUAAAUAGUACCAAACACACACAAUAUAAAAUAUGAAGAAUUUAAAAUGAUAAAUUAAAAAUAAAAUACCCAUUUACCGUCCAAUUAGAUUAAUGUAUAAGCUGAUUAAUUCAAUUCAUAAUUAAAACGAUCAAAAGUUUCAAACCUGAAAUAAAUCAGGAAAUAGACAUAAGAUCGAAUCUUGUAAAAACACAGUGCCAACUUUAUUCAAAAUAACAACUUACAAACAGAAUAUUGCGGCUCUUUCUAUUCCCUGUUAUUAAUGAUUUCCUAGAAAUAUCAAACAUACUUGAUAGUUACCCAGUCAUUGCUUUCUACUCGAGUAGUAAAAUUUCUAAUUCCAGUUGAGCAUUUCCUGAAAACAAACCCCAAAGAUUCUUCUAUGAACAAUUAAAUAUCAAUUUAAGUUCAAGCCACACAUAAUUACCAUAUACAUUAUUUAAAACCAUUUAGUUGAGGAACUAUUUCUAACUCCUCGAAGCUUUACUCAUAUUUUUAUGAUCCGAUCUUUUUUUAGUAGCUUUAUGUAAAGAACUUUGAGCUGUUGUGCUUCCACUACUUCGUACUUUGGGAAUUGCUCCUGAAUCAGGAGCUGAAAAUGGCCCCAUAGGAGAUAUUCUCAUUGCACCAGUUUGAAGAGAUGGAUAAGGAGAUUGAGAACCACUAUGGUCUUUUGUACUUGGAGAAGAGGUUGUUCUUCUAGAAGCACCAGAAGGAGUUCUUCUAGAAAUUGAGGCUGCCCUGGUACUUGUUAUUCGACACAUUUUACUAGUUUUGUACGACACUCCUUUAUCAGAGCAGCUUGGCUGUCUUAUGGGUGUUGGUCUAGAUGAUGCUGAAGGAGGAAAUUCAGAAGUUGCCUGAGUACUUCCUCCAGUGCCAGUUGAAGUCUCUCCAAUAAAACCGGGUCUAGAUGAGCUAGGCCUUGUAGCAAUGCUCCCCAGAGAAGAUUUUCUUUUUUGAAUCUUCUUUUUUGAAGACUUAUUCUUUUUGAAAAUUUUGUCUAGGGCUGACAUAUUGACCGAUGUAAUACUUAAUUUUUUCAUACAUUCUUUAACUUUUACAUGAGAUUUGAGGAACUCUUCGUCUUGGUCUUCUAAUCUACAAAGAUCUUGAACCAUUCUUUUUGGUAAAUUUUCUAUCUUUGAUUGAAUCAUACCCAUUGCC
rnacentral:antisense_RNA from 1 species